AGAAAAUAUUGUUACACAAAAUUAAAAUCCAAACUGGACACUGAAGAAGCCUGGGUUCAGGAAGUAAGGUCGUAAAACAGUGCCAAAC
rnacentral:lncRNA from 1 species